CAUCUAAGUACCCCGAGGAAAAGAAAUCAACCGAGAUUCCCCCAGUAGCGGCGAGCGAACGGGGAGCAGCCCAGAGCCUGAAUCAGUAUGUGUGUUAGUGGAAGCGUCUGGAAAGGCGCGCGAUACAGGGUGACAGCCCCGUACACAAAAAUGCACAUGCUGUGAGCUCGAUGAGUAGGGCGGGACACGUGGUAUCCUGUCUGAAUAUGGGGGGACCAUCCUCCAAGGCUAAAUACUCCUGACUGACCGAUAGUGAACCAGUACCGUGAGGGAAAGGCGAAAAGAACCCCGGCGAGGGGAGUGAAAAAGAACCUGAAACCGUGUACGUACAAGCAGUGGGAGCACGCUUAGGCGUGUGACUGCGUACCUUUUGUAUAAUGGGUCAGCGACUUAUAUUCUGUAGCAAGGUUAACCGAAUAGGGGAGCCGAAGGGAAACCGAGUCUUAACUGGGCGUUAAGUUGCAGGGUAUAGACCCGAAACCCGGUGAUCUAGCCAUGGGCAGGUUGAAGGUUGGGUAACACUAACUGGAGGACCGAACCGACUAAUGUUGAAAAAUUAGCGGAUGACUUGUGGCUGGGGGUGAAAGGCCAAUCAAACCGGGAGAUAGCUGGUUCUCCCCGAAAGCUAUUUAGGUAGCGCCUCGUGAAUUCAUCUCCGGGGGUAGAGCACUGUUUCGGCAAGGGGGUCAUCCCGACUUACCAACCCGAUGCAAACUGCGAAUACCGGAGAAUGUUAUCACGGGAGACACACGGCGGGUGCUAACGUCCGUCGUGAAGAGGGAAACAACCCAGACCGCCAGCUAAGGUCCCAAAGUCAUGGUUAAGUGGGAAACGAUGUGGGAAGGCCCAGACAGCCAGGAUGUUGGCUUAGAAGCAGCCAUCAUUUAAAGAAAGCGUAAUAGCUCACUGGUCGAGUCGGCCUGCGCGGAAGAUGUAACGGGGCUAAACCAUGCAC
rnacentral:rRNA from 1 species